AAGGCACAUUCCUUUCACUCUCCUUAUCGGAAAGGAUAUCUGGAGAGUCGUCAAAGCGCCAGCAGCUAAUCCGGCAGAUUUUCCCCACGCGUGACGACUGUGCGGACUGACAGCGACGACCCAAACCGUACCGAAUAGAUCGAUAUGCCUUCUGUCUCGAGCCACAUCCUCUCUCUUCACUUUGAUAAACCAGGCAUCUCGCGACUUCUGCCUCGAAGAGGUAAAACUCCUGCGUCGUUUUGGUUUGCAUUACCGUCAGCAACGGCACACUGCAUUGCCCCAUUGAACUUGUUUGCUUAUGGGUGUCAGCUGUGGUUAUCUUGUCACGAAUUAACGGUGUCGUUUCCCAUUUACGGCUGUUUUGGUGGUCAUCUUUGGGUAUAUUAUCAUUGUUUCGUGCUUUGGACACUGCUUACUUCGCGAUACACACAGCGAUUUAGCCAAGUCUAAAUUAUGCAUCGAGGUUUAUGAAAUUUGUUUUGAGUAGCGAAACUCUUCUGCAAGGUAUGACAUUGUCGAACUAGUAAACCUUUGGAGCGUUCCCGUACAUGGAGGAAACGAGACAUCACCCACGCAUAUGGCUGGCGAUGGGAAAACUCCAAAAAAGUCAAGCUGCUUGUUUCGAAUCGCCGAACAGCGAAAAUCCUGGAACAUGCCACGUGCCAGAGGAGUGUGGUUUAGAGUACAAACUCUGUUGCCUGCAAUGAACGUGUUAUUAUUAAUGCUAUCAACUAUGAAUAACUGUAUGCCAACGUCCUGACUAGCCGCAUUCAAAUGUCUUCUUCCACUCAACUGGCUCCCUUUCUCAGACACUCCAGUCGGCUAACGGCAUGAGCCAUCUAACGUCGUAGCUGAAUCGAAUAACGGAGCGCAAUUCUUUAAAAAUAAUUUGGUAAUAACAGUUAAAUAGAGUUUUCAAACCCGAUGAUUUAGUUCCUAUAAAAAAAAAAACAGUGAAGGUACCGUAUAUUGUAAAGCUCUAGUAAAAUUAUUGUCUCCUAUAUAAAUUCGUUCGCUCUAUCUUAACAUGUAAAAUAUUCACCCUUAUUGUGAACAGUUAUAGAAUAUGACGGUUAGCUUCUAUAGGGAGAGAUAAUCGCAAAUAAGCCUGUGAUAAUAAUUACUUGUAACAGUUCCUGUAACAUUAAUUCAUCAUAAUAAAAUAAUGAAUUUCAAUAAUUGAAAACGUAAUAACUUCUGAUCACCAUGUGCGUACAGCUUUUUUUGUUAUAAUCUUCUGAAAUGCAUGUUCCACAUAGCAUGAGCUUGACAGUUUAUCAAAAUUAUUCUUAUGUUAUCUGGUAGGAGAGACU